UACGAGAGGCCCAAACGUUAUUCGGAUUUACUGGGCUUAAAGAGUUCGUAGGCGGCGCGGAAAGUAGGGUGUGAAAGCCCUCGGCUCAACCGAGGAAUUGCGCUCUAAACUACUGUGCUUGAGGGACCUAGAGGUGAGCGGAACUGAUGGUGGAGCGGUGAAAUGCGUUGAUAUCAUCAGGAACACCGGAGGCGAAGGCGGCUCACUGGGGGUCUUCUGACGCUGAGGAACGAAAGCCAGGGGAGCGAACGGG
rnacentral:rRNA from 1 species